CGCCGGCCCACGCGCCCAGCCUGGUCAGCGUCGCUAACCCUCAGCUCUCAGCCCCUCACGAUUCUCGGUCAGCCGCCGCCCGCCGCUGUGCCACAGUGCCAGACUGCCAGUGCCUUCCACUAGCGGCCAGCCUUCCUCCGUUAGCCGACGCCGCUGUCCCCGUCCAGCCGUCCACCGCUGUCCCCGUCCGCCGACGGCUCGAUGCCGAGCCGCUGUCCGCCUGUCCGGCUGGGGCCUGUCUCUAUCCCUCCGUGGCUCCGCCCCUGUGCCUCCGUCCGCCGAGGCUGAGGCGUCGAGCUGCUGUCCGCCUGCGGGCCGCGGGCCUGUGGCCUGUCCCUGUCCCUCCGUGCUCCGUCCGUCGAGGGCGAGCCGCUGUGCCUUCCGGCUUCGCCGUCCGAGGAGCCCGACGACUACGAGGUACCUGCACUUCUUAUUCUUCGUGACUUCUUUUCUUCUACAAGCUAAUGCUUGAGAAAACUCGUGCGGUGUUUCAUUACCACAAGCACGAGUAAGCUUGUAAGUUGUGUAGAGCCAUACCUAAUUUUUUUUCCGUCCUCCGCCACUGUGUAUACAUCAAGGUACACUUAUUGGAACAUGCAUUGACUAUCUGCAUAUGCAAGCAGGUUAUGUGAAUAAGAGAUAAAUAGAU
rnacentral:lncRNA from 1 species